rnacentral:rRNA from 1 species
UACGUAGGGUGCAAGCGUUGUCCGGAAUUAUUGGGCGUAAAGAGCUCGUAGGCGGUCUGUCACGUCGGCUGUGAAAACCCGAGGCUCAACCUCGGGCCUGCAGUCGAUACGGGCAGACUAGAGUUCGGUAGGGGAGACUGGAAUUCCUGGUGUAGCGGUGAAAUGCGCAGAUAUCGGGAGGAACACCUGUGGCGAAAGCGGCUCACUGGACCAUAACUGACGCUGGUGCACGAAAGCUAGGGGAGCAAACAGG